AGUGAACGCUGGCGGUAGGCCUAACACAUGCAAGUCGAACGGCAGCACAGUAAGAUCUGGCUCUUACGGGUGGCGAGUGGCGGACUAGUACGGAAUACAUCGGAAUCUACUUUUUCGUUGGGUAUAACGUAGGGAAACUUACGCUAAUACCGCAUACGACCUACGGGUGAAAGCAGGGGAUCUUCGGACCUUUCGCGAUUGACUGAGCCGAUGUCGGCUUAGCUAGUUGGCGGGGUAAAGGCCCACCAAGGCGACGAUCCGUAGCUGGUCUGGUAGGAUGAUCAGCCACACUGGAACGGAGACACGGUCCAGACUCCUACGGGAGGCCGCAGUGGGGAAUAUUGGACAAUGGGCGCAAGCCUGACCCAGCCAUCCCGCGUGGGUGAAGAAGGCCCUCGGGUUGUAAAGCCCUUUUGUUGGGAAAGAAAAGCAGCAGGUUAAUACCCCGCUGUUCUGACGGUACCCAAAGAAUAAGCACCGGCUAACUUCGUG
rnacentral:rRNA from 1 species